rnacentral:rRNA from 1 species
GACCAGNCGCGCGCUCACUGAUGCGUUCNACGAGUCUAUAACCUUGGCCGGAAGGUCCGGGUAAUCUUGGAAUGCGCAUCGUGAUAGGGAUAGAUUAUUGCAACUAUUAAUCUUGAACGAGGAAUUCCUAGUAAACGCGAGUCAUCAGCUCGCAUUGAUUACGU